GUGAUAACUACCUGAAGCACAAAGAGGAUUUGGAGCAACCCCCCAGGAUUCUGAAGGAAGGCACCCCAAGGCGACAUAUCCAUCAAGUCUCUAGUUGCUCAAUGAAUCUGUAUUUUAUCACAUUCGAGUGGGAAGGUUAAUGGAGGUGCUCACCUGUGCAACCGAUCAACAUGGGUGAAAAAUCCUCUUUCUGCAUUGUUUCUUUGUUAAUUACCUUCACAGAAGACAGAGGAGUCCAUUAGGACAACACUGAGAGAUGUCUAAUGAGUCACAUGGGGUACUGUUAAUCACCCAGAUAGUCUUAAAGUGCCCUAACAUGUAAAAAAAACUACCUAAUAUUCUCUUCACUUGCAAGAGCAGAAAUCAUAUUAAGUGUAUAACUCCCACACAAUAAAAUCUGGAAAAAGACGAA